AAGCAGGGGAUCGUAAGACCUUGCGCUUUUGGAGCGGCCGAUGCCUGAUUAGCUAGUUGGUGGGGUAAAGGCCUACCAAGGCAACGAUCAGUAGUUGGUCUGAGAGGACGACCAGCCACACUGGGACUGAGACACGGCCCAGACUCCUACGGGAGGCAGCAGUGGGGAAUUUUGGACAAUGGGCGCAAGCCUGAUCCAGCAAUGCCGCGUGAGUGAAGAAGGCCUUCGGGUUGUAAAGCUCUUUCAGUCGGGAAGAAAAGGUUGUGACUAAUAAUCACAAUUCAUGACGGUACCGACAGAAGAAGCACCGGCUAACUACGUGCCAGCAGCCGCGGUAAUACGUAGGGUGCAAGCGUUAAUCGGAAUUACUGGGCGUAAAGGGUGCGCAGGCGGCUUUGUAAGUCAGAUGUGAAAUCCCCGGGCUUAACCUGGGAAUUGCGUUUGAAACUACAAGACUAGAGU
rnacentral:rRNA from 1 species